rnacentral:lncRNA from 1 species
CUACGACAGACGGACUCCACCCGCGAUCCCAAUUGCAGGCAGACUUCAUCCGGACUCCUACGGGAGCCGGGCUUCGCCCUCAACUGCAAUUGCAGGUAGACUCCAUCCGGACUCCUACGGGAGCCGGACUUUGCACCUGACUUAUAUUGCAGGAAGACUCUACCCGAACUCUUGCGGGAACCGGGCCUCGUCCCCAACUCCGACUGCAAGUAGACCCCAUCCGAACUCUUACGGGAGCCGGACUCCGAGCUCCUUUCAGACGGGUGGCUAGCCACCUCUCCCCACC